rnacentral:rRNA from 1 species
GAUGAACGCUGGCGGCGUGCCUAAUACAUGCAAGUCGAGCGAACAGAUGAGGAGCUUGCUCCUCUGACGUUAGCGGCGGACGGGUGAGUAACACGUGGAUAACCUACCUAUAAGACUGGGAUAACUUCGGGAAACCGGAGCUAAUACCGGAUAAUAUAUUGAACCGCAUGGUUCAAUAGUGAAAGACGGUUUUGCUGUCACUUAUAGAUGGAUCCGCGCCGCAUUAGCUAGUUGGUAAGGUAACGGCUUACCAAGGCAACGAUGCGUAGCCGACCUGAGAGGGUGAUCGGCCACACUGGAACUGAGACACGGUCCAGACUCCUACGGGAGGCAGCAGUAGGGAAUCUUCCGCAAUGGGCGAAAGCCUGACGGAGCAACGCCGCGUGAGUGAUGAAGGUCUUCGGAUCGUAAAACUCUGUUAUUAGGGAAGAACAGAUGUGUAAGUAACUAUGCACGUCUUGACGGUACCUAAUCAGAAGGCCACGGCUAACUACG